rnacentral:piRNA from 1 species
AAAUGUACAGUGGUGACUACAUACUUGCUAUA